UCCGGUUGAUCCUGCCGGACCUGACUGCUAUUGGGGUAAGGCUAAGCCAUGGGAGCCGAACGCCCUAUCACUAUAGGGCGUGACGCACGGCUGAGUAACACGUAGCUAACCCACCCUCGGGACUGGGGUAACUCCGGGAAACUGGAGCUAAACCCGGAUAGGUGAGGAGUCCUGGAAUGGUUCCUCACUUAAAGAGAUCUUAGGGGGUUACUGCCUAAGAUCUGCCCGAGGAUGGGGCUACGGCCCAUCAUGGUAGUUGGCGGGGUAAUGGCCCGCCAAGCCUACGACGGGUAGGGGCCCUGGGAGGGGGAGCCCCCAGAUGGACCCUGAGACAAGGGUCCAGGCCCUACGGGGCGCACCAGGCGCGAAACCUCUGCAAUGCGGGAAACCGUGACAGGGUUACCCCAAGUGCUCCCGUUAAGGGAGCUUUUCCUCGCUGUAAGGGGGCGAGGGAAUAAGCGGGGGGCAAGACUGGUGUCAGCCGCCGCGGUAAUACCAGCCCCGCGAGUGGUCAGGACGAUUACUGGACCUAAAGCGCCCGUAGCCGGUCUAGCAAGUCCUCUCUGAAAGCUCCGGGCCUAACCCGGAGAGUGGAGAGGAUACUGCUAGGCUAGGGGGCGGGAAAGGCCGGGGGUACUCCUAGGGUAGGGGCGAAAUCCGAUAAUCCUAGGAGGACCACCAGUGGCGAAGGCGCCCGGCUGGAACGCGCCCGACGGUGAGGGGCGAAAGCUGGGGGAGCGAACCGGAUUAGAUACCCGGGUAGUCCCAGCUGUAAACGAUGCAGGCUAGGUGUUAGAUGGGCGUUAGUGCCCAUCUAGUGCCGCAGGGAAGCCGUUAAGCCUGCCGCCUGGGGAGUACGGCCGCAAGGCUGAAACUUAAAGGAAUUGGCGGGGGGGCACACAAGGGGUGGAGCCUGCGGCUCAAUUGGAGUCAACGCCGGG
rnacentral:rRNA from 1 species